rnacentral:sRNA from 1 species
UGUAUCUGAAGCCUGACGAGGAUGAGAACUUCCGGGGGCAAGAGGUUCGACCCGAGCGAAGCGAGAGAACGUUGCGUCAGCAACGGCCCGCAGGGCGAGUCAUCCUCUAUCACCGGCAG